rnacentral:rRNA from 1 species
GAUGAACGCUGGCGGCGUGCCUAAUACAUGCAAGUCGAGCGAACGGACGAGAAGCUUGUUUUUCUGAUGUUAGCGGCGGACGGGUGAGUAACACGUGGAUAACAUACUUAUAAGACUGGGAUGACUUCGGGAAACCGGAGCUACUACUGGAUAAUAUUUUGAACCGCAUGGUUCAAAAGUGCAUGACGGUCUUGCUGUCACUUAUAGAUGGAUCCGCGCUGCAUUAGCUAGUUGGUAAGGUAACGGCUUACCAAGGCAACGAUGCGUAGCCGACCUGAGAGGCUGAUCGGCCACACUGGAACUGAGACACGGUCCAGACUCCUACGGGAGGCAGCAGUAGGGAAUCUUCCGCAAUGGGCGAAAGCCUGACGGAGCAACACCGCGUGAGUGAUGAAGGUCUUCGGAUCGUAAAACUCUGUUAUUAGGGAAGAACAUAUGUGUAAGUAACUGUGCACAUCUUGACGGUACCUAAUCAGAAAGCAACGGCUAACUACGUG